rnacentral:rRNA from 1 species
GACUUGUGUGCGCCGGAUGCGGCGAUCUGCGGCCAAAAGGUCGUUGCGAUCAGCCGGUCCUGGCGCCGUAAAAUUUGCAACUGGGUCGCCUCUGGUCUUAAUUGGUCGGUGGCGUCUGCUCGGUUGCUCGUUUACUGUGAGAAAAUUGGAGUGUUCAAGGCAGGCGUGGAUUGCAACUGAACAUGUUAGCAUGGAAUAAUAAGAUAGGGCUCCGGCUCAUAUUUUGUUGGUUUCUAGAGCGUGGGAGUAAUGAUUGAUAGGGACAGUUGGGGGUGCUAGUAUUCAGCGGCCAGAGGUGAAAUUCAUGGAUUCGCUGAAGACUGACUUAUGCGAAAGCAUU